rnacentral:rRNA from 1 species
AGUGAACGCUGGCGGUAGGCCUAACACAUGCAAGUCGAACGGCAGCACAGUAAGAGCUUGCUCUUACGGGUGGCGAGUGGCGGACGGGUGAGGAAUACAUCGGAAUCUACUUUUUCGUGGGGGAUAACGUAGGGAAACUUACGCUAAUACCGCAUACGACCUACGGGUGAAAGCAGGGGAUCUUCGGACCUUGCGCGAUUGAAUGAGCCGAUGUCGGAUUAGCUAGUUGGCGGGGUAAAGGCCCACCAAGGCGACGAUCCGUAGCUGGUCUGAGAGGAUGAUCAGCCACACUGGAACUGAGACACGGUCCAGACUCCUACGGGAGGCAGCAGUGGGGAAUAUUGGACAAUGGGCGCAAGCCUGAUCCAGCCAUACCGCGUGGGUGAAGAAGGCCCUCGGGUUGUAAAGCCCUUUUGUUGGGAAAGAAAAGCAGCAGGUUAAUACCCCGCUGUUCUGACGGUACCCAAAGAAUAAGCACCGGCUAACUGCGU